GGCCCGUUAGUCUAGUGGUUAUGACGCCUCUCUUUCACAGAGGAGAACACCAGUUCGAACCUGGUACGGGCUA
rnacentral:tRNA from 1 species